UGCAGCACUCGUGGGUGACUUCACAACCAUUGAAGCUGAAAUGGUGCACUUCCUAGAUCAUCAGCAUUUCAUAGUAGUGCAGAACUUCAAUAUUAAUAGUAACAGUAAGAAAUUCGAAGGUCGAUAUUUACAUCACUAGGUUAUGUAAUUUAAAAGUUGGCAAACUUUAUAUUACAGAACUUUAGUAUCAGUAGUAAUAGCAAUAAUAUGCUGGCAAUUAUAUAAGGAAAACAGAAAAUAAGAAAAUAAGGGAACUGAUUUAGCUGAUUCAUUAUUGCGAGGAGCCAGGUCUGUGUAUGCAUGCAUAGUUCAUUCAUCCCCACAGCGGCUCCUCGACUUUCGUCGCAAAGAGAGAAUGCAAAUGGGGUGAAAGAUAGACUCUAUCUCAUGGGGCUUCAUAAAGAAAAAUCGAGCAACCACUACGUUUUUCCUCUUUCUAGCUCGUGGCUUCCUCGGUGCCGGAGGGCAGCUAAGAGUCGAAGGUAUCUUGUGCUCCUCAGAAGUAGGUGUGGUGCACCCUCCCUCUGUGGCCUCAGCUGAUUGUGAUGUCGCGAUUGGCUUCAAUCUCGACCCCAAUUCCGAUGUUCCCUCGGGUUCAUCAGAGAUAGACGUGGCCAAGGAAGAAGGAUGAGGAUGAAAGAAUUCCGAGGUGCCCUUCAUUUCAUCGGAGAUAGACACAGAUACAGAUAUGGCCAGAUGAAAGAGGAAGUGAGGAAAGCCUGCAGAAGAAGAGGAGGCGUGCAAUGAAAAGAAAGGAGUAGAAAAAAAAGUGUUUGGUUCUAAUUUACUCUUAGGGUUUUUCUUAUUGUAGGGUAGGUGAACUUCCUCUCUUUGUAUCUUUCAUCUUUUAUUCCUACUUUGAGGGAUAGAGAGUGAGAAGGUCAAUAGGACAACCUUAAUAGAGAGAGAACAUGGCCAUAUCUUGAUGGAUUUUCCCUUUGUUUAUAGUGGGUGGGGGAGAGAGUGUGCAUAGGAUGCUUGCCUUGGCUUUCAAUUCUCA
rnacentral:lncRNA from 1 species